AUUAUUUCGUGUUGUUCUUCAAUCCUAUGCAUACUCAACCUUUACAACAKAGAAUUAGACUUUAGAAGACCAGARUACUGYCUGGAAAUGUCAUUUACAAGGCCUGUACAACUUACAGUACAUUGUUUACAGUUCUUGGUGACGUUUCUYGUUCAUAUGAAUCUUCAUCUACUGGUGUAUUCAAGCCCUUCAUGUUCUAGCGGUUUAGAAUACGAUUGCAAGUCUCUACAAGGCAAUGGUACCGCUUGURUUUGGGGUUGUAAUACAACUGUAACAAAACAUCUUUCCCCAGGAYAUUGCUUAGAUGACUGCUGCAAAUAUUGCUUCUCCAAUUGCCAAGAAUGUUUUUAUGUCAARAUUCUACGUUUUUGUAUUCAUGGUUCUACCAACUCUUCAUUUGCAAAACAUCUUUUGGACAAAACAUUCAAGCMAUCACAAACCCUGGAUCAGGUCAUAAGAACUUCAGUAUUGAAUGUUUUGUCUUCAAUUAACCAAACCUUCAAGACUGAGCUACUUCAAUCUAAAUGGUAUUCUAAAAGCUAUAACAUUAUUCAGGUGUAUGUUAGAAUCACCAGUAGAAAGAAAACUACAGAAACUGUAGCAAUAGAUAUUAUAAGAAAUGCAACGAAGACUGGCCAGUUGGGUGGAUUAACUGUGUCUCCUGAUGUUUUUGACGUAAUGACAGAAAAGGAUUAUGAUUUGUUAAUGAAUAAUGAAGGAGAAGAAGACAAUUUAGAUGUGGUUGAGCUGAUUGCAGCAUGCAUCGGAGCAUUAAUCAUCCUAGCUGCAAUUUGUUGGCGUUUGUUUUAUAUGUGUACAACACCACAUCARAGAAAUAGAUGCAAUCCCUGUGGUYGAAGAACCGGAAUAGAUGCAUGAAAAAUAUCUGGAAAUAUAUURCUCAACACAGGUUAUCUCAGAACUGCUAAUGAGGUGAAAUCMAAUACAAGACUCCAAGAGAAAKGAGAACCUAGAGAAAAACCCUCAAAUCAAGAGAAAGACCUAACCUAUACUCACUAAGAAACAUAUAGAUAGAAAAGAUUGUUGUCCAUAAAGAUGCCUAAGUGGUUUGACAUGGUUUCACUCGCUAGGGAGAAUGGUACAACUUCGUGUCGUACUUCAAUGGGCUGGAAUUGGGCCAUCAGACUAAGAGUGAAAGCUGUCAAGUUGGUAUUGAACRAUGUGUUCAACUUGAUGUAGUCAUCUACUGACUUGCGUGGAAAGUACAAGACUCUCUUAUUUAGAACUGGUAGAGAGAGAAAACCAAUCAUUCCCAGUUUGUAAACCAAGUCACGUGGGUGUGUUUCAGMCUCAGAAGAACUCAGCUGGCAGUUGGCAGAGUUGGCAGGGUUUUGAUCAAAGUUGGUGGACACACAYCUUGGUUCCAURUAACAYUGAAUACGACAUUGCUSAGGUGUUUCAACCGUCUUGUUUUCAAUGACAUGCCCAAUUAAGGCUUUGUCUGGGAUGGACUGAAAGUACWCUUGGUUACGACAACCACCUUGAUGCAUAACGCAACCUGCGAGUGUGAAUGAAAGAAAAUAUGACAUCACUAGGCAGGAUAUACUGAUGACCGCUACAAACAGACAAUGAGGUUUUGCCACAAAACCUACAACCAAGAAGCACUGGAAUGGAAAAGCCUCUUGAACCCAAACUAACUGAAAAAAAGCACCGAGAUGGAGUUGAGUAACUGCCAGAGACACCAAAACGCAGUAUUUCGACGACUUGCUCUUGUAUAGGGUUCCCAGGACAAGUGCCGUAUAUGUGCUUGAAUACUUCAGAGGUGUAAGAACUCUUCAAAGAAGCCAUUUGUAUCAGGAGGCUUGGACCCGAUCGCAAUACUGGAGACGCUGGACAGCCUCAUCUACCACGUGUAUAGGAGGAACCCCUCGAGUCACGUGUGUCUACACRCACGUGUAUCAACUGCUAAUGAAGUCMUUAUUCAAGGACGAAAGCUCCGAAAGUAACUACAUGACAGUAUUGUACUAAGCUGUCCAAAGCACGUCAAUGAGUCGAAAACCAGGAGAGGUGGUCGACCUGAUGAAUGGCAGAAUAAUCAAGAAAAGAGAAUAAACCUGAGGCAGUAGAAGGAGGAAGAAGGAACGAGACGACAAAAAGAUUAUUAAAAAAAGAGAUGGUGCACUGACAAAGUAAACGAUUAAAUUUUUUAAAUGUGAAAAAAGUAAAAUGUCAGUGAAAAUAGAAAGAUGGAAAAGGGUAGAUCAUACUGAAAUAAAUGAAAAAAUGAAGAUGGCACUG